rnacentral:tRNA from 1 species
GCCACUUUAGCUUAGUGGUAAAGCACUUGACUCGUAAUCAAGAAACACGAGUUCGAUUCUCGUAAGUGGCACCA